UUUGGUGUGAAACCAAAAGGUUGCUGUGAAGUUCUGAUGUUUUAGGCUUAGAGUUGGCUUUUUACUGAAAUUUAUUUGAGAACCAGCUUCUGAAUUGCUUGGAAAAGCAAAAACACGUAGAAAUCAAAUCACAAUUUAAAUAUUCCCGCAAAGCGAGGAAUUUUGAGAGUAACUUCUGCGUGCAACAUGCGAAAAGUGAGCGGCAGUGCUCUUCAACGUGGGCACGAAAUAAGCCACAUUCUGGUCCCCUUGCGGCGAUGUAAAUGGGGGAACAUCGAACAAAUUAUUCUUUCAGUUCUGAAAGUCUAAACUAAAUGGUAAUAUUAAUCAGAACAUCAAAAUUGAGCCCUGGUCACGCUGCGUGCGACGCCAAAAACCGCGUUUUUGUUUUUAUUGAAGAAAUUGCCUAAGAAACUUCCAAGAAUUGCACUGAUGUGGAGGGCGGAGGCGCAAUU